GAAACGACAUCGAAAGCUUGCUUUUGAUGGGCGUCGACCGGCGCACGGGUGAGUAACGCGUAUCCAACCUGCCCACCACUUGGGGAUAACCUUGCGAAAGUAAGACUAAUACCCAAUGACGUCUCUAGAAGACAUCCGAAAGAGAUUAAAGAUUUAUCGGUGAUGGAUGGGGAUGCGUCUGAUUAGCUUGUUGGCGGGGUAACGGCCCACCAAGGCGACGAUCAGUAGGGGUUCUGAGAGGAAGGUCCCCCACAUUGGAACUGAGACACGGUCCAAACUCCUACGGGAGGCAGCAGUGAGGAAUAUUGGUCAAUGGACGAGAGUCUGAACCAGCCAAGUAGCGUGCAGGAUGACGGCCCUAUGGGUUGUAAACUGCUUUUAUAAGGGAAUAAAGUGAGUCUCGUGAGACUUUUUGCAUGUACCUUAUGAAUAAGGACCGGCUAAUUCCGUGCCAGCAGCCGCGGUAAUACGGAAGGUCCGGGCGUUAUCCGGAUUUAUUGGGUUUAAAGGGAGCGUAGGCCGGAGAUUAAGCGUGUUGUGAAAUGUAGACGCUCAACGUCUGCACUGCAGCGCGAACUGGUUUCCUUGAGUACGCACAAAGUGGGCGGAAUUCGUGGUGUAGCGGUGAAAUGCUUAGAUAUCACGAAGAACUCCGAUUGCGAAGGCAGCUCACUGGAGCGCAACUGACGCUGAAGCUCGAAAGUGCGGGUAUCGAACAGGAUUAGAUACCCUGGUAGUCCGCACGGUAAACGAUGGAUGCCCGCUGUUGGUCUGAAUAGGUCAGCGGCCAAGCGAAAGCAUUAAGCAUCCCACCUGGGGAGUACGCCGGCAACGGUGCAA
rnacentral:rRNA from 2 species